rnacentral:rRNA from 1 species
GUAAUGUGAAUUGCAGAUUUUCAGUGAGUCANCGAAUCUUUGAACGCACCUUGCGCCCCUUGGUAUUCCGAGGGGCAUGCCUGUUUGAGUGUCAUU